UACGGGGGGGGUAAGCGUUGUUCGGAAUUACUGGGCGUAAAGGGCUCGUAGGCGGCCAACUAAGUCAUACGUGAAAUCCCUCAGCUUAACUGGGGAACUGCUUGGCAUACUGGCGGUCUUGAGCAACCUAGGGGCGAGCGGAACAAAUGGUGGAGCGGUGAAAUGCGUAGAUAUCAUUUGGAACGCCAAUGGUGAAAACAGCUCGCUGGGGGUUUGCUGACGCUGAGACACGAAAGCCAGGGGAGCAAACGGG
rnacentral:rRNA from 1 species